rnacentral:misc_RNA from 1 species
GUGAAUCAUCAAAUUUUUGAACGCAAAUUGCACUCUCUGGUAUUCCGAAGAGUAUGCCUGUUUGAGGGUCAUUUGAAAUAAAAAGCUGUGUGGGUUCUUCCGUUCGUGGUGACUCGCCUGAUGUGGGUCGUCUUGCCUUCUGUUAGGUGACCUGAAAUUUUGCAUGAGUGUGUCGAACGUAUUGAACUCAUUUUACGUACAGGUCCAGUAUCGAAUACGAGUUUCGUUCAUCCUCAUGAUCCGCGCCUGUAAUGUCUCAUCGAAGUAACCUCA